AAAUCCGGAGUCAUAUUAGCCCCAACACACGCGAAUCACUAAUUCAUUCUAUUCUUUCUAUCGCUCACUCGUCCCCCUAAAUUAUUUUAAAAAAACCCUAACCCUAGAUUAUUACAAAAUCAAUCCAAUGGGCACCGACCAAGACACCCAGCGCAAGCACCGUCGAUCCACCUCUGAUGAUGAAGCCGAGAAGUCCUCUAAACGACAUAAACAUCGUCAUCAUCACCACCGUCACCGUCACCACCGAAGCAGGAAGCACGAAGACGAAACCAGUCACGGAGGUGAUGACGUGGCUCCCUCUGUUCCCGUCAUUAAUAGUUGUCGGAUUGAUGAUGACGUGGAGGAAGGAGAGAUUCUCGAAGAGGACAAUUUUGAAACCAAGAAAUUGGAUUCUUCUGAAAUUAAAGCCGAUUUACUUGAUGGAGUCGACUCUCGAAUUCCGGAAGUUGGUGAAUUUGAUCAUGUGAAAGAAACUCCACCGGACAAGAUUGAUGAUGACUUGCUUGCUAAUUCUGGCAUCAGUGAAAAGAUUCACAAUGAUCUUAAUGUCAAUGGAGAUUUUCCCCAUGAUUAUAGUAAAGAUAUUGAUAGACAAGAUAAUGAUAGUCGACUGAGGGAAUCUGUGUCUCCUUCAAGGAAAAGCCGAAAGCAGAAGACUUAUUUUUUUACUGAUGGAAUGGAAGAUGAUGUUAGCAAAUUACGGGAGAGGAGGAAAUCAUUGUCCUCUGAAAGCUCCGGGGACAGGCAUAAGCCAGUGGUGUGCUCACCAUCACGUGAUAGAUCUAAUGAUGGUUUUCAUGCCAGGAGGAGUAGGUCAAGGUCACAGGAUCUUGCUUUGGAAAGAGCUCGUUCCCAAAGCAUAAUGGAAGAAGAAACUAUUGUUAAAAGAGGGCAUCGUCAUGAUUGGGGUCUGAAAAACUCUGAAGAUAAGAGGGUUAUUCAACACAGUAGGAAUGAGAGACAUGGUAGUAAGGAUUUAGUGAGGGAUGAGGAAAGGGAACACAGUAGUAGUUACAGCAGCAGACACAUUAGCAGAGAGGAUAGAUAUCACAGUCGGGAAAUACAGGAUGGAGAGAGGAGUUGGGAGAGAGAGACGGAAAAGGAUCGGAGAAGGGAGAAGGAAAGGGAAAGCAGCAGGAAUAUGGAGACAAACAAGGAACGGAGAAGAGACAAAGAACGAGAGAGUAGGGACAGGCAAUUAUACACUGAAAGGGAGGAACGAGGUAGGGACAGGUAUGAAGAGGUGGAUCGGGAUGGGAAAAGGAAGAAGGAAAGAGACAGGAGCAGAGAUAGAGCUAGGGUCAGUGAUAGAGAGAUAGAUAGACAUGGGGAAAGGGGGAGAGAUGGGGACAAGGCCAGAGCUAGGGAGCAUCACUUAGAGAGGGAGAGGGAGAGAUGGAGUGAUAGAAGUCAAGGUAAAGCUGGAGGUAUUGAGAGUCAUAUGGAGAAGUAUGCAAGUUUUGAUGACAGUUAUAAAAGCCGAGAUAAGUUUAAACAUUCUAGGCACUUGACUCAUGAUGAUGAUAAGGGACAUUUUCGUGAUAGAACAAGAAGGGACAAUCCUGCCAAAGCUCAUAGUUCUAACAGUCAUUGUUGGGAGGCAGGUGGUGAUGGAAAAACAAGAGAUGAAGAUGAUUUUGAGGAAAGGGUUGGCUUAAAGCUUGUUGAACAAGAAGAAGAUCUUGACAGAAUUAAGGAGGAGAGUAGAAAGCGAAGACAAGCCAUCCUAGAUAAAUACAAAAAUCAGAAGUUACAGCAGCAUAGUGAGUCUAAUUCAGCUGAUGUGGAAAAAGAGAAAAAGUCUAUGGAGCAUCCUGGUCUAUUGAGUGGUGCUGAUAAUAAUUUUUCGGAUAAUCAUAACGAUAAAAGUAAUGGAGUUGAUGGCUACAUAGAUGACCAGUUAUUUUCUGUGAGGAAGUCACCUCUACAAAAUGGAAUUACUGCUUCUGACAGGACUUCUGGUCCUGGGGGGCUUGGUGAUGGUACUCCUAAGAGUGAGACAUCAGACGUUCUGUUUUGUGAUGAUAUAUUUGGAGAGACUCCUGUCGGUGUUCGCAAGUUGGGUAAAGCUGAAGGCUCUAAAAUUAUAAGGAGUGGCCUUCAUGACAACUGGGAUGAUGCAGAAGGGUACUAUAGUUAUCGAUUUGGUGAGUUACUUGAUGCACGAUAUGAAGUCACUGCUGCUCAUGGGAAAGGUGUUUUCUCUACUGUAGUACGUGCAAAGGAUCUAAAAUCUGGUACUGGUGAACCUGAAGAGGUAGCCAUAAAAAUUAUACGAAAUAAUGAAACAAUGAACAAGGCUGGUCAGACUGAGGUUCAGAUAUUAAAGAAAUUGGCAGGUGCCGAUCCAGAGAAUAAGCGUCACUGCGUCCGCUUUAUUUCAAAUUUUAAGUACAGGAAUCAUCUUUGUUUAGUUUUUGAAUCUCUUCAUAUGAAUCUGCGCGAGGUUUUAAAGAAGUUUGGCCGCAAUAUUGGCCUUAAACUGACUGCUGUGAGAGCAUAUGCAAAACAACUUUUUAUUGCUUUAAAGCAUCUAAAAAAUUGUGGCGUUCUUCAUUGUGAUAUAAAGCCAGAUAACAUGUUGGUAAACGAGGCAAAGAAUGUGUUGAAGCUUUGUGAUUUUGGUAAUGCCAUGUUUGCUGGUAAAAAUGAAAUUACACCUUACCUUGUCAGCCGAUUUUAUCGUGCACCUGAGAUAAUUCUUGGGUUGCCAUAUGAUCAUCCGCUGGAUAUCUGGUCUGUUGGAUGCUGUUUGUAUGAGCUUUAUACAGGAAAGGUUCUUUUCCCAGGAGCUACAAAUAAUGACAUGCUACGCCUUCAUAUGGAGUUGAAGGGUCCUUUUCCUAAGAAGAUGCUACGUAAGGGAGCAUUUACUGAGCAACACUUUGAUCAGGAUUUAAAUUUUCAUGCUACGGAAGAGGAUCCUGUUACUAAAAAGACUAUAAAGAGGACGAUCUUUAAUAUAAAGCCAAAAGAUAUUGGAUCAAUUGUUACAGCCUCACCUGGUGAGGAUCCCAAGAUGUUAAGUAAUUUCAAAGAUCUUCUGGAAAAGAUUUUUGUGUUGGAUCCAGAGAAGAGGAUGACAGUAGCACAGGCUUUGGCUCAUCCAUUCAUCUCGGGCAAGUGAACCAUGUUGCUGAAUUUAUACUCCAGAAAUGCUGUUGAGCUAGAUAUUUGCACAUUAUGACCUAAUUCAUACUAGAUAUCUAAUCAUUGGGCAUUAUUUGUCUUUAUCUUCUCUGUGCUGGCAUAUAAGCUUUGAACACAGUGUCGCAUGGUUGAAGUCAAAGGGGUGAUGUUGGUCAGGAGUACUCUUUUCUGGCAGUUCUUUCAGUGGAAUGUACUGUUUCUAUUGAUAUCUGCCACUGCUUUGAGGCUAUCCUCCAGUGCUUAGAUGCUUAAAAGGCACCCAAGAAAGAAACUUGCACUGGAGGUGUUUGGCUGCAGUUGACGUGAAAGAAUACUUCAGUGCAGCCCUGUGCUUCUGAAACUACUUAAUGGAACCCAAGGAUUUCUGGAAAGUGGAAAUUCUGCUUCAUGGAAUCAACUGAGAAUACCCUUCACCAAAUGUAGUAUCCAAUCACAAAAGAAAGCAUGAGUUACCCUUUGGGAUUGGAAGGUUUUCUACAUUGUGCCUUUUUAAAGCGUAAGUUACUUGUCACAAAAAAUAUAACAAAUCAAUUAAUUUUUAUAAUAUUAGUAGAUUAUCAAACUUUAUUGUUAAAAAAAAUUGAAAAGAAAAAUAUGUUAAAAAACAUUUGCAUUAAAAAUAUUAAUUACUGCCCAAAGUGUAAAAUAUCAAUUACCUUUGGAUUGAAAAAUAUUAAAUAAGUCUGACUGUACAUAAUGCACAUAUCGAAUAAAACACACAUAAUGAAAAAUAUCAAUAAACUUUUAUUAUGUGUGAUUCACAUGCUAAAAAAUAUCAAAAACCUUGUAUACUAGAAAAUAUCAGUUAUUCUCCAAUAUGCACCUCACACAUACUUGACAAAUGCUAAUAAAUCUCAACCUUCAGCAGCUCCUAUGACGUGUGACCCAAUGCUAAUAAACCUCAACCUUCAGCAGCUCCUACCAUGUUACCUGUAUGGUGACUGUGAAUCAAAUAUAGUGCAAAAACAACCUAAUCAACUGUUUUUGAGCUCAGUUUCUCCAAUAAUUGACAAAAUUUAUGCUGUCGCAAAUGAUUAAGCUAUUUUUCACAAAAAUACAAUUGCUGAGUAUCCCUGAAAAUCUAUGGAAUCCAUUAAAAAAUAGUUAAAUCUCAAUAUUAUAAGCAAUGAAACAUGAGGAUGAAUGAUUUACUAACCUUUUGCUUAUUUUAAUCAUGCAAAAAUGACUCAAAUUGCUGAAAAAAAAGGCGGAACUGUUAUGUGUGGUUUUCUCUGGUAUAUGCAGGUUUACUGUACAUGUUUUCGAAUAUUAAAAAUGAUUUUAAGGCAUGUUUAUAUAUUGGUAAUUUUAUCCAAGUCUAAUAUGUUGGUCAUAUUUAUAUCACCUUUAAAAAGUUGCUCAUGUUUGUAAACACCCCUUUAAUUGGGUUAUUUUAAUUAAUUACCGUUUAGAUUGUUAGAUAUAUGAAAGUAUUAUUCCCCUUUGUUUUGAUUAUUUCUAGUCAUUUCUAGUCAAAAGGUCAUAGUACAAUUUAGUAUUUUUGUCAAUUUCUUACAACAUCUUGUCAGUUUUACAUUUUUGGCAGUUAAAACUUACGAAGGGUAGAAGCCAUGACAUUGUUACAAUGAUGUGUUGGGUGGAAAACUUGAUUACUGUGGUUGUCUUUUGUAGUGUGAGAUGUGUUAUAUAUGGAGUAGCAGUUGUUUUAUUGCUGUUUUUGUACAUGUUUUCUUGUCUAAUUGCCAGUGUUCCAAUGCAUCUGCUGGGAAAAGUUUUCUUUAGUUGUAUGAUUAGUAUAUGUGAACUGGGUCUCUAAUUUUUUAAGUUCUUCCAUAUAUUUGACUCUAGUUGUAUUAAUAUUGACAAACAGUUAUUCUAAUCACUUUUUAUGUUUGCUGUGUUCCUUUUUGGUUUGCUCUCUGCUGUCACAUUUGCUUUCUUAAUGUGAGUGAGAGAGGAUGAUUUCUUUUUGGCAUUUUGAAUGGAGGCUCACUGCAAUUAGCCAUCUGUAGGGGUUGGCAUUCGAACAUGUCUCAACAAUAAAUGUAUUUUUGGUCUUGUCUUUACUCUUUUUAUUCACCUGCUGUUCUAGCAUAAAUUAGUCAUGCUUGCCUUGAUUUGUGUGCAAUCAAAUAUGUGGAUGACCAGAAUUAUAUACGUAUGCCAUCAGUUCCCUAUCAUGGUUAAUGCAGCCUUGCAGUAGAUGAAGUUGAAUAAAAUGUAGUGUUAAUUGCAUGUAUGUGUAUCAAUGAGAGGUGUGGUUGUGUUCUGUUAUAUGUGUAAAGGCUGUAACUUUGUGAAAUACCAGUAAGUAAUGCUCAAAGGUCCCAUGGCUUUCCUGGCCUUAUCCUCUGGUUUUUGAACGUGUGUAAGUCAUGAACCUAACAUGGAGGAAUAUGAGCUUAUACAUGACUGGAUUGUAUGAGGACUGUAUUUCCAAUGCCCUUGAAUAUGGCAAUUCGGAGCUGCAUCAACAUUUAUUUAUUUGAAUGUAUGAUUAUCUUUACUUGUUCUCCAAUUGGUGCAUUAAAAAUAGUUGUUUUACUCUC